rnacentral:lncRNA from 1 species
CAUCAUAAGCUUUCAUCUUCUAAUGAACUCCAUUGUUAUGAUGAAGUCCUUAGGACUAUUUAGAUUCGAUAAAGAGAGGAUUUAUCGAUUAGUCCUUAAAACUAUUCACGACCAAAUGAUAGGCUGUUAAUAAGGACGACAGCUUCUAUCGAGCAUAGGUCACUGUAGGCCAUAUGGGUUGAUUGUCCUCUUAACCAAGGAGUGUGGAGACACUGGUAUGGCAUACAGGUGAGAUGUAAGGGUACAUCAUCAUUGAACGUGACCAACUCCAGAGUAUUCUGCUGUCGAGAAUGUCUCUGAUGGGAUAUAGGUAUAAGUAUCCCUUAGACUUGAGAUCGCCUCAGUCACUUGCAAGCAACUCACUGUGCUUUGGUACUAGACUAACUGAAUUUUUAAUUCAGGGAUGGAAGGCUUCUGGGCACAAUCAAGUACUUGCGAAGUCAGAGUGUGAUCGAGAUGAGAUUGACCACUCCAAGAGUUGGAGAAGAAUGAGUCACUGUAUUUCAAUUUAGCAAAACCUUGGCCAGGGUAAUCCAUCAGAUGGAUUUGAUAUUUUAAAAUAUAAUGUGGACAACCUGAUCAGAGUUGACAGUUGAACUCUGGGGUAUCCUAUGAUCAUUUUG